UACAGAGGUCUCAAGCGUUGUUCGGAUUCAUUGGGCGUAAAGGGUGCGUAGGUGGCGCCGUAAGUCGGGUGUGAAAUUUCGGAGCUUAACUCCGAAACUGCAUUCGAUACUGCGGUGCUUGAGGACUGGAGAGGAGACUGGAAUUCAUGGUGUAGCAGUGAAAUGCGUAGAGAUCAUGAGGAAGACCAGUGGCGAAGGCGGCUUUCUGGACGAUAACUGACGCUGAGACGCGAAAGCGUGGGGAGCAAACAGG
rnacentral:rRNA from 1 species